GGGCAAUUGGUCUAGGGGUAUGAUUUUCGCUUCGCAUGUGAAAGGUCACCGGUUCAAAUCCGGUAUUGUCCA
rnacentral:tRNA from 1 species